CACGUAGGGCGCAAGCGUUGUCCGGAAUCAUUGGGCGUAAAGAGCGUGUAGGCGGCCCGGUAAGUCCGCUGUGAAAGUCUAGGGCUCAACCCUGGAAUGCCGGUGGAAACUGUCGGGCUAGAGUCCGGAAGAGGCGAGUGGAAUUCCUGGUGUAGCGGUGAAAUGCGCAGAUAUCAGGAGGAACACCAAUGGCGAAGGCAGCUCGCUGGGACGGUACUGACGCUGAGACGCGAAAGCGUGGGGAGCAAACAGG
rnacentral:rRNA from 1 species